GGGGGCCUUUGGGAGAUAAUGAGGUCAUAAGUGCAGAGCCCUUAUUAUGGGAUUAGUUCCCUUCUAAAAGAGUCAUAAGACAGAUGAUCCAUCUCUCUCUCUACCAUUUGAGGAUACAAGGAGCAGAUGGCAUUUGCAAACCAGGAAGAGCACCCUUAGGAGACACUGCAUUUGCCAACGCCUUGAUCCUGGACUUCCAGCCUCCAGAACUCUUCCAUCCUUUUGGCGACUACCAAGAUCUCCUUCUGACCAGUCUCUUUUAACUGAGGACUUCCUUGGUCCUAACAUUGACUUGACAUCUUCCUGAGGCUGCCUCUUCAUUUUCCAUCUCUGCUCUGGCGGUGCAGCUCAAGGGUAGUGGUCCUGCUCUGGCACCUGGCCCAGGCAAUGACCCACAGUGCCAUGACUUCAGGACUGCCAUGCACCAGCCAGAAGGAAACCAACUCUCACACAAGGGACUGGAACUCAUCAAGUCACAGCAUCCAGACAACGAGAUGCAAGACCCCUCAUGCACCAUGAUCCUUCAUGACUUCUCUCUUAUUGCUUUCCACACAUAGCUAUAUUCCUUCCCCUCUAUAUAAACCUCCAAUUUCAGUCAGGAGAGACAGAUUUGAGGUUUGUCUUCCAUCUCUCUGGCUGACAUUCCCAAAUAAAAGGCCUUCUUUCCUGGCAAUAA